UCUGAUCCGAAAUAAAAUAAAAUGUUAGUUUUACAAUAAGCAGAUCCCCAACACGUCUACACACACCAAUGGGAGUCACAUGAUAAAGAACAAACGACGUGCACUAGAAGACCAUUAGUUGUGUUAGGCGUGGCACAGAGGCGGAAGCCGGAGUAACGGCAAACAGAAACUUUAUUAGAACAAAGGCAGAGCCAACACAAAACACCCGUGCAGUUCGGGACAAUCCGGCAAACAGCAGUUCACUUGUAUUACCCACGGUGCGUUAUGGAGGAGGCGCGGCACGGAGGGAAGCGACGGGGAAGCGUCGGUAGUCCGAGGUGCGCUGGGGAAGCCAAACGCGGCCGUGGAGUGAGCGAGGAGUCCGGGCGAAGAAGGCACGCAGCGGGAGAAGCACAUAAGCGAAUACACAGCCUGAACCUGCACGACCACGCAUGAACGUACAAUAACGGACCCGGAAUGUGGGUUGCACCAGCUCCCGUUGUGUCCCACAUCAUGAAGAUUAUAAACCGUCAAAGAGUUGAUGCCCGCAAACAUCCUGAACCAUCUAGAGACGUAUCAGCACCAUUUGGAUUCCACUUCAUGUAGAAUUUGGUCAUUGGACCUCUUUGAGUGUUUAAAGGCUCUGGCAUGGAGAAGCUGGUGUUGGAUCUUUGAUGAUCUCAGGAGGCUAAACAGAUGCUGCUCCAUCACUGAUGCUGAUGAGAAACUCACAGUGUUGAUUGUGCUGUACAGUGUUGAUAAAGUGCUGUAUUUAAGCAGAUGCACUUAUCUAGAUUGAUCUAGAUCUAGACUCUGAAUCACGUGUGUAAUCAGUCUAAUGGAAAAACAGCAAAAUGGCAUAACUGGCAGGGAAUCUAUGAAAGCACAUGCUAAUGGUAAGUGGUAAAUGUCCAAAAAAAUAUAAAAAAUAAAAAUAAAGCGAAUAUACUGUUUAUCACUGUGUCGCAUGUUAGGUAAUUUAUGCCGACUGCCAACUCUAAGUAGGGUGCUCUCGCUCCUCUCAAUCUCGGGCCCCGCUGAGGUGAAGCGGCGUCCAUAUACCUGGGACCUGGCAAUGUGUCUGGAGACAGGCUUGUCCCUUUCUUCUUCCUUACCUGCUGGGUCCAGCGCCCUCUAGCAAGGGCAAAGAGGAGUAACAUGUGGUCUGUGAUGGUGUUUGAAGGGAAAGAAUAUAAAUGAGACCCAGUAUGCUGGAUGGUCCAAGGGGUCCCCCAAUGACAGGAAUAAGAGCAGUUGGUAACCCAUCUGGUAAGACACAUUGGAAGGGGAUGAGGUUAGUGAAUGAAAGCCACAAGAACGGAUAUAUGAAUUGUGAAAGACGUAAGGAUCAGUGUCCUGUCCUUCCAAAUGACUUGGUAUUUCUCUUCUUUCAGAGAUGAUGUAUUAUCAUCAAUCUAGUUAGAAUUUAAAAGGGUUAGUCAGUAGGGAUUAUGGUUAGAAAGGGUUAUGGGUUUGGGAUUAGGGUUAAUAUAUGUAUUU